rnacentral:lncRNA from 1 species
UUUUUUCUGAUUGAAAAUAAACGAUAUUCGUUCAAUUUGAUAAAGGACAUCAAUACAAUGUAAAUUCGCUAAAAACAAAAAUGAUGAAUAUGCGAAUAAAUUCAUAACAUCCUUGUUAAUAGCAUUAACAACAAAGUGCAAUAGCCUACAAACAUGACUAUAUUCAAGUCUCCAGAAUACUCAUGUUUUUGGAUCUGAUAAUCUGAACCAAAAAAACAUCAUAGCACAUCAUAGCAAGACAAGAAAGACAAACAACACCACACAAAGACGACGAACAAAACAAUAUCGCACUAAGGCAACGAAAUCACAAAACAAAAAACUAAAUAGUGUGAAAAUCACUAAUUUAAAUAAAAGGGAAGAAGAAAAACGAUCUAUAAAAGUGAUUUGUUGUCAAAAAUUGACCCUAAAUCAACUUUGUUUGAUGGAUAAAAGAGAAAAAACAUUUAUGUGACGGCUCACAAAAGAGACCAACAUUUACACUCGAAAUCAAUACACGAACAAACUUCAAACCAAUUAUGCGUUUCACAAUCUUGGAGAGUAGUACAUGGACCAUAACCUGCAAUGAAAAAGAGAGAAUAAACAAAGGUUUCUAAAAUGAGAAAAAGGAUUGCACAUAAAAACCGAAGUAAACAAGAAAAUUUGAAGGGUAAAUAAUGGCUUACUUUUACUGUUCCCUGCACUAAGAAAUAUGGAAAGAAAGAGGAACACAACGAAAAUAAAUUUCAGAAUUGUAUUCAUG